GACGAACGCUGGCGGCGUGCUUAACACAUGCAAGUCGAGCGGUAAGGCCCUUUCGGGGUACGACGAGCGGCGAACGGGUGAGUAACACGUGGGUGACCUGCCCUUAGCUCUGGGAUAAGCCUGGGAAACGUGGGUCUAAUACCGGAUAUGACUCCAUGACGCAUGUUGUGGGGUGGAAAGCCUUGUGCGGCUAGGGAUGGGCCCGCGGCCUAUCAGCUUGUUGGUGGGGUGAUGGCCUACCAAGGCGACGACGGGUAGCCGGCCUGAGAGGGCGACCGGCCACACUGGGACUGAGACACGGCCCAGACUCCUACGGGAGGCAGCAGUGGGGAAUCUUGCGCAAUGGGCGAAAGCCUGACGCAGCGACGCCGCGUGGGGGAUGACGGCCU
rnacentral:rRNA from 1 species